rnacentral:rRNA from 6 species
GCGAUCCCAGGUCAGGCGGGGCUACCCGCUGAGUUUAA